AGAGUUUGAUCCUGGCUCAGGAUGAACGCUGGCGGCGUGCCUAACACAUGCAAGUCGAGCGCGUCUGAUUUGAUGCUUGCAUUAAUGAAAGAUGAGCGGCGGACGGGUGAGUAACGCGUGGGUAACCUGCCCUAUACACAUGGAUAACAUACUGAAAAGUUUACUAAUACAUGAUAAUAUAUAUUUACGGCAUCGUAGAUAUAUCAAAGUGUUAGCGGUAUAGGAUGGACCCGCGUCUGAUUAGCUAGUUGGUGAGAUAACUGCCCACCAAGGCGACGAUCAGUAGCCGACCUGAGAGGGUGAUCGGCCACAUUGGAACUGAGACACGGUCCAAACUCCUACGGGAGGCAGCAGUGGGGAAUAUUGCACAAUGGGCGCAAGCCUGAUGCAGCAACGCCGCGUGCGGGAUGACGGCCUUCGGGUUGUAAACCGCUUUCAGCAGGGACGAAGCUUUUUGUGACGGUACCUGCAGAAGAAGCACCGGCUAACUACGUGCCAGCAGCCGCGGUGAUACGUAGGGUGCGAGCGUUGUCCGGAUUUAUUGGGCGUAAAGGGCUCGUAGGCGGUUGAUCGCGUCGGAAGUGGAAACUUGAUGCUUAACGUUGAGCGUGCUUUCGAUACGGGUUGACUUGAGGAAGGUAGGGGAGAAUGGAAUUCCUGGUGGAGCGGUGGAAUGCGCAGAUAUCAGGAGGAACACCAGUGGCGAAGGCGGUUCUCUGGGCCUUUCCUGACGCUGAGGAGCGAAAGCGUGGGGAGCGAACAGGCUUAGAUACCCUGGUAGUCCACGCUGUAAACGGUGGGUACUAGGUGUGGGGUCCAUUCCACGGAUUCUGUGCCGUAGCUAACGCAUUAAGUACCCCGCCUGGGGAGUACGGCCGCAAGGCUAAAACUCAAAGGAAUUGACGGGGCCCCGCACAAGCGGCGGAGCAUGCGGAUUAAUUCGAUGCAACGCGAAGAACCUUACCAAGGCUUGACAUGCACUGGAUCGCUGCAGAGAUGUGGUUUUCUUUGGACUGGUGCACAGGUGGUGCAUGGUUGUCGUCAGCUCGUGUCGUGAGAUGUUGGGUUAAGUCCC
rnacentral:rRNA from 1 species